AGAUGAAGAACUGACCAGGAAAUAUAAUAUGGAAAUGGAACUCAGGACUCCAAAGGAAACUCCAAGAAAAGAGAGGUGAGCAUUCUGAAAUCAUCUCAACAUUGAGGAUCAGAGGGAGACAGAUUUCCCAGAUGCUUGCCUUUUAUUUUCUAACCCUAACAUCAGACUUUACCAGGGCACUUGGAAAAGGUUGACAGAUGUUUUGGUUUGUAUUCAUAUACAAAACAU